AGCGUAGGCGGACUUUUAAGUGAGAUGUGAAAUACCCGGGCUCAACUUGGGUGCUGCAUUUCAAACUGGAAGUCUAGAGUGCAGGAGAGGAGAAUGGAAUUCCUAGUGUAGCGGUGAAAUGCGUAGAGAUUAGGAAGAACACCAGUGGCGAAGGCGAUUCUCUGGACUGUAACUGGCGCUGAGGCUGAAAGCGUGGGGGAGCAAACA
rnacentral:rRNA from 1 species